CUUCUCUCGAACUAAAGUGCGACACUGGAUAUACACUCUUGGGCGGCAACCGACUAAUAUGUCAAGAUAAUGGAAAGUGGAGUGAAAAUGCAACUUGCGUAAUCAAAGAUUGUGGGAACUUCACAGAGCCAACACACGGGAGGAUAUUGAACAUACCGAUUGUCACCACAUUUCAAUCUGUGAUACGCUUUGCUUGCAACGAUGGAUAUCUUCUGCAAGGAAACGAUUCCACCCAGUGUGACAGUACAGGGUUAUGGACGAGUGCAAUCCCCAUUUGCAAUAAGAAGUGUAAUUUAUUGUACUGAACUAGGCGGUACCUGUACUGACAAAAGACAGUGUCUAGCAGAAAAUGCUAUCUGUGAAGACAGUAAAUGCGCAUGCAUCUCUGGUGUAAUAGAUCACAACACAAAUAAAU